UUUUGCCGACCAACGGAUUGUCAGCAUUUUCUUUAGCUAACCAAAACAAUAAUUACCCUCCCACGUUUGCCUUACUGACAGAAUGUCAAUAAAGUCACAUAAAAUAUCUCAUUACAAUAACAUCCAACAAAAUAUCAAUCAAGAUACAAUAAUAGAUGCAUGUCAUUGAUUUUGUACAAAAUAUCCAGUUGACAAUACAACAUAAAGGCUUACAAAAUGAUAGCCAAACGGUGCAUUAUUUUGCACCUUACUCAAACUAUCUAGUUGACGCAAACUAUCUCCAUAGUUCCUUCCUGGUCUUUUAUGUCUUUCCUACAAAGGGUAAACAAUCAUUCAGUAAAUUCAUGCAUUCAUAGUCAAUGGCAGAAACAAAACAAAGCAUCAGCUCAAUCUGCACAACGAAAUACAUCAGCUCAAUAAUUUAGCUAAACUCACUACAGAAGAAAGCGAGCUGGCAAUCAAUCAUUAAGCAUCUACUAGUUGCUACAUAAGGUCGUAAAUUUGCACAAUUCAGGUCAUUUGUAAUGCCCACCCUACUUGUACAGGCGUGAAUGCAAAACUAUUACCUCCCAGGGAAACCAUGUAUGUUAUAUGUUAGUAGGAUUGGAAACUCGAUUGUAUUCUCAGUUCAAAGAUACGCAAGUGAUCCUGUUCAGUCCAUCAAAGCAUAUAUUAACAAAAUGCGUCCUAAGAUGAAGGUUUUGCAUUUCUUACAAGUUGCUAUGUAACACAGCUUGAACCUGACCCUAACUCUAUUGGAUGAUCUAAACCUAGUUGUAUAUAUGACAAUUAUUACUCUAUGGGAAACUACACAUGUAGUUUUUGCUAUAUGAUUUGAGAGUAGCAUCGUUCUGUUCAUCUCUAAAAUUUUCAUAUAAUUAAUACAAGCAUGCAAAUAUAAUAUUCAUAUACUACAGCAAUGCUAUAAGGCUGAAGCAUAAAAUCUAAAAGUGGGUAACUGUACUUCUCUUUCGCUUGCUGAAAAUUAUAAAAGUCGGACAUUAUCACUAAAAAUGAUUUUAUUAGUUCUUGUCUCCCCCACCAAAAAAAUAAAAAGGCUAUUGUUGAGUGAAUGUUUUGCAUGGACCUUUGGACAUUGUCGCUACCAUAUAUUUAUCAAAGUGAAUCCAGACAUAUUAAUCAUUUUAGCGGUACAUUCUAAUUUCUUCAAUCAAUAGAUGAAUGUAAGCAAACAGUUCUAGCUAAGUGACAGAAAUUACCUAAGUGGCGGGAUGAGGAAGACGUCCCUGUUCAGAUAAGAUUCACCUGCUAUGUUGUUCCCCACACACAGAAUUCAUUUUGCCUUUUAGAUUGAUUGUAACCAGAUCUUACUUCUGGGAAAUAAUAGAACAUGAUGUUACGAUAUGAUUUAACAAGGGAACAUUAUGAAGUAUACAUGUAUUCCUUUUGUAUCACAAAAAUAAUAGGAAAACUGAAGAUUGUUUUGGUGAACUACAUGUAGUCAUGUAUGCCAGUCAGAAGUAAAUAGCAAGGUCACUUAAUAUUGCUUGUUCUCUCAAGUUGCACUAGGACAUAAAAAUGAACAACAAAGCUAAAUAGGUUCCAUUUUACUUUGCCAUUAGACUUUUUGGCAACAACUUCUGCAGCUAAAAAAUCAGGUCAACAUAUUUAUUAAUCCCAGGCUGUUUGUAGAACUACAUAUUUAUUAAUGAACUUGGUAGCUGUUAAUGUAUGCAGGAGUCAAUUAAGAUUAACUGAAAUUUCAGCAAGAAUAUCAAUACAGGUGAUUCACACUAAAAAACACGAGCACAAAUUGUAACUGUGCAAAGCUAACACCCGGUGUGGACUCUGUUUAAUACCUGUAGUAGAUUCUUCUUCAGUUAAUCCACUUUCUAGGAAGAUAUUUGGAGUGCGUGCCAUUCUUUUCGUCAUUAAAAGUGCACCAUCCCAUACCAGAGUACAGAGACAUCAAGUAAUGUUUCCAGAGCCUGAAAGCACCACCCAUCAGUUAAUGUGUUACUCCUACAUGGUCAGGAUGGAUAGCUCACUUGUUACAGAAACAUGUUUAACAACUAAACGUUUUAUGCUCCGGUGCAAGAUUCUAGCCUCAGCCAAAAAUAGUAUUUGUUGGGCUCACUUCUAUAGAUGAGUGGAGAAGAGGAAGACACCGAUCAAGGGAGUCAGGUGUUGAGGGCUGACCUGCAUGAACUGCC
rnacentral:lncRNA from 1 species